rnacentral:piRNA from 1 species
UGUUUUGCGAUGUAGGAUGUGGUCAAUGAC